GCAUUGUUGAGGAGUCUCACAAUAGGACGAAAUGACCAUCCAAUGC
rfam:Schistosoma curassoni strain Dakar, Senegal genome assembly, scaffold: SCTD_contig0000215